rnacentral:lncRNA from 1 species
CCGGUCCUCUUUGCAAUGCAGAAGACCAUAGGACCCCUGGGACAUCGUGGCAGGUGUCUGAGUGUCGGAGUGUCGGGUGUCGGAGACGCAGAGGGCAGGAAGCAGCCUGGCUGUUUCCCCAAGGAGGCAUGGGCGAACAGCGUUUGAUGGGGACCUCCAGGGUGUGGCCCGGGACCUCAUGUCUCCCUCUGCAACUCGCCCGUGCCGCACACGCCAUGUGGGCUCUGGUCUCUGUCUUUCCAACUCAGAUGCGGUUUUCAGGGUGCAGCAGCCAGGGGCUGGACUUGAUUGCAGUGGAGCCGUACGGGGCAAGGGGUGCCAGCCUUCUGGAUUAGCAGAGAUGUUGACCCAGAAACAAAGACCACAAGAUUUAAAGAACAAAGAGUUAAAAGCACAGUGCAGAUACUCAACUCUGAACACCAAGAAGCAGCAUCCCAGCACGGGCUUUAAGCCUGCAGGGGCUGUUGGGAAGGAGGUGGGAAGAGAGGCUCUCUCAUCCCUCUGAGGCCUCAGCAGCGUUUUCAGGGACACUGGAAAGAACGAUAUGGUGGGCGUGCCACCCCUUCCCCACCACCGGGCACGCAGCCUCACCGGGCAGGUGCUCUGAAGACGCUGCGGGAAGGUGAGGCACCUUGCUCUCCCCUGCUUG